rnacentral:rRNA from 1 species
UACAGAGGGUGCAAGCGUUGUUCGGAAUUAUUGGGCGUAAAGCGCGUGUAGGCGGCUUUGCAAGUCGGGUGUGAAAGCCCUCAGCUCAACUGAGGAAGUGCGCCCGAAACUGCAGAGCUUGAGUACCGGAGAGGAUGGUGGAAUUCCCCAAGUAGAGGUGAAAUUCGUAGAUAUGGGGAGGAACACCGGUGGCGAAGGCGGCAUCCUGGACCGACACUGACGCUGAGGAGCGAAAGCCAGGGGAGCAAACGGG